CCUUUGUGACCCAGCAAUGGGUACCUGCCGCGACAGAAAACAAGAAUGCAAGGUAUUAAACCGCAAGUCAGCUUUGGCUGGCCACACUUUCGAAUUGCGGGGACACCCUAAAGCCUGUUCCUACCAAACCAGCUGGGAAAUCAGUUGGCGGCUUGUGCUAACCACACAARGUAAGGUAACAACGGAACAGGAUAAUUGUAUGGGUAAUCCGCAGCCAAGUCCCUACAACCAAAAUAUUUWGGUCAUGGGAAAGGUU
rnacentral:rRNA from 1 species